rnacentral:rRNA from 1 species
AUUGAACGCUGGCGGCAUGCUUUACACAUGCAAGUCGAACGGUAAUAGGCCUUCGGGUGCUGACGAGUGGCGAACGGGUGAGUAAUGCAUCGGAACGUGCCCAGAGGUGGGGGAUAACGCAGCGAAAGCUGUGCUAAUACCGCAUGUGAUCUGAGGAUGAAAGCGGGGGACCAAGCGGCAAUGUUUGGCCUCGCGCCUCUGGAGCGGCCGAUGUCAGAUUAGGUAGUUGGUGGGGUAAAGGCCUACCAAGCCGACGAUCUGUAGCUGGUCUGAGAGGACGACCAGCCACACUGGGACUGAGACACGGCCCAGACUCCUACGGGAGGCAGCAGUGGGGAAUUUUGGACAAUGGGCGCAAGCCUGAUCCAGCAAUGCCGCGUGCGGGAAGAAGGCCUUCGGGUUGUAAACCGCUUUUGUACGGAACGAAAAGGCUCUGGCUAAUACCUGGGGCUGAUGACGGUACCGUAAGAAUAAGCACCGGCUAACUACGUG